rnacentral:rRNA from 13 species
CCUAAGAGAUAGGAGAAAUCCGUUGCAAGGUGGACGUUUAUUCGCCCCUUCUAUCGAAAGGGAAUUGGGUUAAUAUUCCCAAACCAGGACGUGGAUGUUGAGUGGUAACACAAGCAAAGCCGGGGACGACGGCGGGAGCCCCGACGAGAGUUUUCUUUUCUUGUUAACAGAUUUCAAUGACCCUGGAAUCGGAUUGACCGGAGAUAGGGUUAUCGGUCUGGGAAAGGCGGUCGCUUUU